rnacentral:tRNA from 1 species
GGGCACGUAGUAUAACUUGGAUAGUAUGCAGCCCUGCGGAGGCUGCGAUUGGGGUUCAAAUCCCCACGUGCCCA